ACACCCUCACACACACACACACACACACACACACACACACACACACACAAGAUAUCAUUUUUUUCUGUGGAAAGAAUAAUCUUUUAUGUUCUUAAAAAAUUUCGGUUUAUUCAUGAAAGUCAAUCAAAAGUCAAUCAAUAUCCAUAAAACAAUACAAAUCAGAAGCAGAGCAAACACGGACCUCUAAACAUCAGAGAUUGGAUCAGGUGAAAGGAAGAUGGUACAAAAUCCCAUUAUGCCUUUGGUAGUGAUAUUCAUCAAUGUCCUCGGGUCAUCCCUACGGAUGGGAAUGUUAAGGCUUUCUGUAUAAGGGUACAAAGACCUAAGACAUGUGUAUAAGGUCACCCGGAAUACUUUAAGGGAUUGGAAUUAAUUAGAAUAUACCUUAUUUUCUUACCUUUAGAUGACACACUUUUUAUAGAAUUACCCUCGUCAUUGAAGUUUUUGCAUUUUAAUAAAGAAAAUGCUUCAUAUUUAUAUUUCGUAUGUUGGUAUUACAUUGUUGUUUUUUUCUUUUGGGAAACAUAGUUUAAUUAAUAAUUUUUUUCAUUUCAUGUUGAAACAGGGAAGGCCAAACUGCCCAUCAGGAUAUCAUUGUAAUCAUUUUGCUGGUGUGUGUGAACGGAACCCAGUGGAAGAUAACGGAUAUUGUACAAGCGCUGCUGACUGUCCUCGAGGACACAUUUGUGUGUUUGGUACUUGUAUAAGAU